UAUUUCAUACAUACAUAACACCACUGAGUUUGCUCAUAUAUUGGCCAAAGUUAAGCACAUACUCUUUAAUACAGCAGGUCUGUACCAUUGGCAAUGCUACCUUGACUUGUGGGAGAUGGGAGUUCAUGAUAGCUUAUUUUGGAAUCAUUUAAUUACUUCAGAGGAUUUUAAGAUCAAUUACAAAUCUGUCACUCACUGUUGAAAGAGGACGUGGGUGGAAUCCAGUAUUUCUGUAAAUUAAUAGGAGGGAUGGGGACCGAUCACUUAAAUAAUAAGUUCUUAUUUAUUUGUGUAUUCUGCUUCGGAGUCCUUGUAUAUCCACAUGUAAAAAUGCUUUCUUCUAAUUUGUUGACGCUCUCUAUGUAGUCUACUGCAUUAAAAAACUUUGCAUUGCA